CUAACUCAAAUGUUUUAAGCAUGUUCACGCAUCAUGAAUACCAUGUAUAUGUAUUAGGCUGUUGCAUUAGAUUUCACGAAGAUGUUGCAUUGCAUAAUUUGCUGUUGAUAUGGAUAGACCAAGGCGACCCAAUAGCCCUAGAUAUGAUAUGUUAAUGAAGUACUGAGGAGCCCCACUGAGGGCCGGGCACUAAUGAAGUCCUGAGGAGCCCCUUCGAGGGCCGGGCACCAUGAUAUGUUACAGAAGUCCUAAGGAGCUCCUUCGAGGGCCGGGCACAGACAGAGGGAGUUUUGGAGGUCAUGUCCAUCCAUGAUGUGAAAUGUUUGUGCUGUGACGCAUUCCAUAAAAGCAUGUUUUAUUAUAAUGUUUAUUGUUCUGCUCACUGGGCUUUUUAGCUCACCCCUUUCCCCUAACCCCCAGGUUUGCAGGUCUGAGGUAGUGCGGAAAGUCGGCAAGGGUUAAUGUUAU
rnacentral:lncRNA from 1 species